rfam:Gossypium raimondii Chr05_contig_1278, whole genome shotgun sequence.
CACGUCAGCGCGAUGUCAGGGUACGUGACAGGACAUCGCGUCCACGUCAGCGCGACUUGUUGACGUGGACGCGAUGUCCUGUCACGUACCCUGACAUCGCGCUGACGUGG